GUUGUCUCAUGGAUGGUAUCAAUUAAUACUCCUUGUUGUUUCUAAAAGUUGAAGACAUGGCUUCUCCAUCUCAUAAUGAGAUAAGAUGUAUAUUAGAACAAGCAGAAGGAAACCUGAUCUCCCUCAACAAACGAAUUGAAACUGUGGAAGGCAAACAACAACAGCAACAUAAUAAGAUAAG